rnacentral:rRNA from 1 species
UGCGUAGGCGGCAUAUUAAGUCUACUGUAAAAUAUCUCGGCCUAACCGAGAAAGCGCAGUGGAUACUGGUAAGCUAGAGGAUGGAAGAGAGAAGUGGAAUUCUCGGAGUAGCGGUAAAAUGCGUAGAUCUCGAGAGGAACACCGAUGGCGAAAGCAGCUUCUUGGUCCAAUCCUGACGCUGAUGACAAGACGUGGGGAGCGAAACAG